UACGAAGGGGGCAAGCGUUGUUCGGAAUUACUGGGCGUAAAGGGCGUGUAGGCGGAUCGACCAGUCAGGGGUGAAAUCCCGGGGCUCAACCUCGGAACUGCCUUUGAUACUGUCGAUCUAGAGUCUGUGAGAGGGUGGCGGAAUACCCAGUGUAGAGGUGAAAUUCGUAGAUAUUGGGUAGAACACCAGUGGCGAAGGCGGCCACCUGGCACAGUACUGACGCUGAGGCGCGAAAGCGUGGGGAGCAAAC
rnacentral:rRNA from 1 species